CAAUAUUUUUAUUCGAGGCCGCUAUCUUUAUCAGUGAUACCACUAUAACCACAAUGCAAAGCGCUACGAAAACGUAAUAAGGGGAAUCGUUAAUUCAUCGUUCAUGAAUUACGAGGCGGGCACUAUUUUAAAAAUAUGUCGUAUGAUGAAGGAGAACCAAAUGAAACAAACGUCAUAGGAACAAAAGCAAUAGUGCCAAUUAUGUUUCUUUCAGUUGCUUAGCCCUGAGAACCGUCAAUGUUCUUCAUCCAAUCCGGGAUGUUUUCUAGAGACUCGACUGUGAUUGUUUGUCCAAAAAUCCGCACUUCUCGGUCACCUUUCUGAGGUGCUCUCUGUGAGAAUCCAAUAUUUUUGUAAAUCUGUCACUCCUGCAGGAUAGUCUUUUCACUUUUAUGAUUUUCCUUGCCGCUUGGCCAGCUUCUUCGGGAUCCGACGAAGAGGAAUCGUCUCGGAUGGCCGGCUGUUCGUCUUCACUAUGUUCUGGCGACAUUGAAGCCAACGUCAUGCCACAACGAAUUUCAUGUUUCUCGCUUUCUGGCCACGAUGUUGAUUUGUGUAUAUAACAAAGGAAAACAACAGGAGAAUUAUGAUGAAUGCCGAAUAUCCUACAAACUGUAUCUGCCUAGCUAUAUGUCCUCAGACGUGUUAUCGUUAAUGUGCAUUUCGAAUCGAAGUAUGUAUUGUAGCCUGAAAUGAGUGUUAGUGUAGCCCGAGUUAAGCCCCUCGGGCCAUAAGCCCUUUUCUAGUAAAGCCCAGACCACGCCCAAACCACACUCAUCAUCGUCAAAGGCUUAACUCGAAGUAAAAAACACAAUUUGGAAAUUUCGAGUUAAGCCCCGUGAAAAAGAGGGGCUUAACUUGAUUUCAUCGAAAAUAUUCGAUCCUCGAGUUAAGUCCCGACAUUUGGGGCGUGCAAAAGAGCAGGCCAAUCAGAUCCUCCCUGAAACGGAUUAUCCCAAAGCCUCACGUUCCUUCCCGAGGAUCGCAGGCUCGGAGAAUGGGAUUGGGCUUAAAUAAACUGCAGGCAAAAUGAGACAUGAACAGUUCGUAUAAUUUUCAUUGAGUUAUGCCCUUGACGUCAAUAGGUUUGGUUUGUGCGUAGUCGAGGCUUAACUCGAAAAGGGCUUAACUCGAAGGGCUAAACUCAAAGAUUAUCUACCUCCCUGAAAUCAGCACUCGGCAUACGACGAGCGUGAGCAACGCUUAUUUAAGGACAAUGUAAAUGCAUUACAUUGUCCUUAAAUAAGCGUUGCUGACGCUCGUCAAUAUGGCGGUUAAUAGAGUGCAAAGCACCGAUUUCAAUCUACAAUCUUGGACAUAACUGGUUGAGAAUUUUUCCCUCCUAUAGAAAAUUCACAUGAUAUUUUUAUAAUAAACUCCUUAUUGAAUCAACCUCGUCCCCAGGCUCCAACUCACGCGCGCGGGUCCCAACGCAAGCAGGGGACGGCGCAGCAAAUCAAAGCGCCUGGAAACGAGGCUGGUAUAUUACCAAAAGUUGUUUCGGCGUUGUUCACAACAUUGAACUGGUGUG